rnacentral:rRNA from 1 species
GAGCAAGCGUUAUCCGGAAUUAUUGGGAGUAAAGGGUGCGUAGACGGGAAGACAAGUUAUUUGUGAAAUCCCUCGGCUUAACUGAGGAACUGCAACUAAAACUAUCAUUCUUGAGUGCAGGAGAGGAAAGUGGAAUUCCUAGUGUAGCGGUGAAAUGCGUAGAUAUUAGGAGGAACACCAGUGGCGAAGGCGACUUUCUGGACUGUAACUGACGUUGAGGCACGAAGGUGUGGGGAGCAAACA